rnacentral:lncRNA from 1 species
GAAAAUAAGUUGGUUUUUAAAAUUAUUUUAAUUAAAAGUUUACAAGAACAAGAUAGAAGCAAAUAAGUAAAUACAAUAAAAUAAAUAGUUGAUAUAUCAGAUAACAAGUCAUAUUAUUUUAUCAUGGUUUGACGCAAAACCAUAAGGCUUUUGUCUUGUCUCGAAGGAUAGUACAGUGAGAUUUCCAUUAUCACGAAACUUUUAACACAGGAUCA